GACGAACGCUGGCGGCGUGCUUAACACAUGCAAGUCGAACGGAAAGGCCCUGCUUUUGUGGGGUGCUCGGGUGGCGGGCGGGUAAGUAACACGUGCGUACCCUGCCCUUGACUUUAGGAUAACUUCAGAGAACUGGGGCUAAUACCGGAUAUGAGCUCCUGAGGCGGGGUGGGGAUUGGAACGUUUCGGCGGUUGGGGAUGGACUCGCGGCUGAUCAGCUUGUGGGUGGGGUAGCGGUUGACCAAGUCUUUGACGGGUAGCCGGCCUGGGAAGUGGACCAGCGACAUGGGGACUGAGAGACGGCCCAGACUCCUACGGGAGGCAGUAGUGGGGAACAUGGUACAACGGGCGGAAGCGUGAGACAGCAACGCCGCGGGUGUGAUGUCCGCUUUCGCGGUGUAAAACGGUUCUGCUUGUUACGCAGCGUGAGUGACGGUAAUGGGUAAAGAAGCACCGGCUAACUACGUG
rnacentral:rRNA from 1 species